AACUCACGUCAAGCGCAACUUUGUUGGUGGAGAGGUUGUGUAUGUGUGUGAGUGAGUGAGAGUGAGAGUACUGUAGUGGUGGCUAUGGUGGCGAAGCGGUGAAUUGUCAACACAAACUGCACAAAAGCAACAGCUACCGAAUAUUAAAGCCAGCACAGUGAAUGUGCGACCAGCAGCAGGGAAAUGGGCUUUGCAUAUGGGCUGAGUGUCCGCCGAUCGCUUGCACGAAGUGGGCUUCCAGUGUGACUUGGUGAAAGGAGGAGGCAGAGCUUGGCAAGUAUUGUGUAUGAUGUACCGCUCCUAGGCAGAUCACAAGUGCACGAAGCAUCGAUUGUGAAAUGGGUUUUAAGUUCUGCACUGGGUUCGAUCCAAGUUACGAGUUUUGUCCACGUUGUAGGUUGCCUUGGUAGAAGUUCUGUGAUAUCAGUGUUGCUCAGAAAUUUAGUUCGUGCCUUUCUUGGUGACUGUGUGAGAUGCUUUCACACGUACGUGCUAUAAUUAGCUAGUGUUGAGUUGGAUGUUUGCUAGGCGUAGGAUUCGUGGUUGCAGACGCAUUCCAGGGAAGUGAGUGCAGAAUUGUGUGGAAAGUGGUCGAGCGUCCCACUGGAACCUCAAGGUUGUUCGAUUUUGUAUUCUACAAGCGUACAGUCGGAUGAACACAAGUGAUUCUGGAACAGGUAGCUGGAUUGUUAUAAAAUAUAACUGUCACGUGAACGAUGGUGAAGAAGAAUGACCUGUUCUUGCCUGAGGAAGAUCUGGCGGACCGCCGGCGCUUUUUCUCGGGGUUGAUUACUGGCCUCAUCAUAACCAUCCUCGUAUUGUCUUUCUUUCUCUUUGCGAAGCGAUUCUUCUAGCAAUGUUCGCGGCCAUCAAAGGUUAGAGUCGACUUGGACACACAACCAAUGAAGACAAUUGGAGCUCUGUGUAUGCAGCAAAAACCUUCAUGUGCACUUCCCAGUUGACCUGGAUUCCCUCGAGAAAGGGGGAGUAGAUAAGAUUCAAGUCUCAGCUUCUCAUAUAAUCUCUGCUGAGGAAAUUGUAAUAAGGGUACAGUAGAAAUGAGGCCAGCAACAAGCUAAAUCCAUGGUCUUGUUUUCUGAAUCCAUAAAUCUCUAAACUUGGUGGUGGAGUCAACAUUGCAUGCAUGCCAGACGCUUGUUGCCAUUUUCUAAGUUAACUGAAAGGUCAGUAUUCAACUUGCAAUGUAGUUCAUUGGAAGCACAUCUUUUGGGAGGCUGGUUAGUAAAAUCGAAUGAAAUAUACUUUUCACAUUGCAGCUC